CCCUUCGAUGUCCUGGGCUGCACGCGCGCUACACUGAUGUGUCCAGUAAGCACCUAACCUAUUCCGAGAGGAGCGGGUAACCUUAGCAAAGCACAUCGUGAUGGGGAUAGAUUAUUGCAAUUAUUAGUCUUGAACGAGGAAUUCCUAGUAAGCACAAGUCAUCAGCUUGUGUUGAUUACGUCCCUGCCCUUUGUACACACCGCCCGUCGCUCCUACCGAUUGAAUGUUCCGGUGAGCUCUUCGGACUGCGCGGUCUGCAGUUUCUGCGUUCCGUGCGGAAAGUUGUGCAAACCUUAACAUUUAGAGGAAGGAGAAGUCGUAACA
rnacentral:rRNA from 1 species